AAGUCGUAACAAGGUUUCCGUAGGUGAACCUGCGGAAGGAUCAUUAACACGUAUCCAAACGUAAAAAACCCCCCCGUCGCAAUCUCUGGUAAAUCAUAGCCCGGAAAGUAGUUUUGAUUCAGAGACCUCUGGCUACGUGAGAACAUUGGAACAGUUACAAUCGAGCGGUAGUUUCAUAGGCAUUGUUUCCCCAAGCAGUUAGUGUCUGAAAGUGUCACUGAUUGUGCAAGGAUAGCGCUUCAACGAUUCCUGUAGACCGUACACUCGGGCAGGAGCUAUGCCAAAGGGUCCCCAUGCCCCCUUAUAACCCCACAGUUUAAUGUGAAGCUCAAUGUAAUACAUUGGGUAAAAAAACCGAACAACUGUUAACAAUGGAUAUCUUGGUUCUC
rnacentral:misc_RNA from 1 species